UACGGAGGGGGCUAGCGUUGUUCGGAAUUACUGGGCGUAAAGCGCGCGUAGGCGGCUUUGUAAGUUAGAGGUGAAAGCCCGAAGCUCAACUUCGGAAUUGCCUUUAAGACUGCAUCGCUAGAAUUGUGGAGAGGUAAGUGGAAUUCCGAGUGUAGAGGUGAAAUUCGUAGAUAUUCGGAGGAACACCAGUGGCGAAGGCGGCUCACUGGUCCGGUACUGACGCUGAGGUGCGAAAGCGUGGGGAGCAAACAGG
rnacentral:rRNA from 1 species